GAUGAACGCUGGCGGCGUGCCUAAUACAUGCAAGUCGAGCGGUAACACUUCGGGUGACGAGCGGCGGACGGCUGAGUAACGCGUAGGAAUGUACCCCAGAGUGAGGGAUAAGCACCGGAAACGGCGUCUAAUACCGCACAACCUCUUCAGAGACAAGCUUCGGCGCUUUGGGAACGGCCUGCGUAUGAUUAGCUUGUUUGUGAGGUAAAAGCUCACCAAGGCUAUGAUCAUUAGCUGGUCUGAGAGGAUGAUCAGCCAGACUGGGACUGAGACACGGCCCAGACUCCUACGUGAGGCAGCAGUAGGGAAUUUUCCACAAUGGACGAAAGUCUGAUGGAGCAACGCCGCGUGCAGGAUGAAGGCCUUCGGGUUGUAAACUGCUUUUAUCUGUGAAGAUUAUGACGGUAGCAGAUGAAUAAGGAUCGGCUAACUCCGUGCCAGCAGCCGCCGUAA
rnacentral:rRNA from 1 species